GAACGUCGUGAGACAGUUCGGUCUCUAUCUGCUGUGGGCGUUGGAAAUUUGAGAGGAGCUGACUUUAGUACGAGAGGACCGAGUUGGACAGCCCUCUAGUGUACCUGUUGUUUCGCCAGAAGCAUUGCAGGGUAGCUACGGCUGGUUGGGAUAAGCACUGAAAGCAUAUAAGUGCGAAGCCCACCUCAAGAUGAGAUUUCCCUUAAGGGUCGUUCGAGAUGAGGACGUUGAUAGGCUUCAGGUGUAAAGGCAGUAAUGUCAUAGCCAAGUAGUACUAAUAACCCGUAGGCUUA
rnacentral:rRNA from 1 species